rnacentral:sRNA from 1 species
UUGAGUUCCAAGCAUGUAGCGUUACAUUAUACAACCCUGGCAGUGCAUACGAAUGAACAAUACUACGAUCCAUAAAGGCAAUUUGAAAUGAUCCAGCUCGGUGUAGAGAAAUGUUAUUAUCUCCAAAAUCAAUUGUGUAAUAGACGUUCCACUCCGGAGGUGAUAUGAAAACGAACUGAAUCUUUUCAUUAACUGCUGCAAUGGAUUUUGAUGAUAUAUCCAUGUUUAUUGGGUUCCAGAUGUAAAUUGUUUUACUUGGAGUUACACUAACGGAUCCAUUACAUUGCAAGAGAAAACGACACAGUCAGUACUUGGUGGAGAGGCAAAGUACUUAGGCCACGUGCGAUGAGGCGUGACCAAUAAUGAUGUCUGGCCAGCACUGUCGGUAAACAAAGUGAUGUCGGAAGUCAGCGUUUUUUAACAAGCUCAUAAGAGUGUUGCGCGUGAAAAAAUAGAUACAUUAAUUUGACAAAAAUAUUUUUAUAUAAUGCAAACAAUAGCCAUAAUAUGUAUAAUAUGUAUAAUAUGUAUAAUUAAAACUGGUAUCAUAU